AUUGAACGCUGGCGGCAGGCCUAACACAUGCAAGUCGAACGGUAACAGAGCUACAGGUGGUGCCGAGGGGCGGAGGGGGGAGUAAUGGAGCGGAACGUGUCCGGAGCUAGGGGGUAGCGGGGCGAAAGGUGGGGAAAUAUACCAUGUGAUCGGAGACGGAAAACGGGGGACAGAGCGGGAACGUCUGGCCUCGCGCGACUGAAGGAGCCGAUGUCGGAUUAGGUAGUUGGUGGGGUAAAGGCCUACCAAGCCGACGAUCUGUAGCUGGUCUGAGAGGAUGAUCAGCCACACUGGGACUGAGACACGGUCCAGACUCCUACGGGAGGCAGCAGUGGGGAAUUUUGGACAAAGGGCGCAAGCCUGAUCCAGCAAUGCCGCGUGCGUGAAGAAGGCCUUCGGGUUGUAAACCGCUUUUGUACGGAACGAAAAGCCUCUGGCUAAUACCUCGCGCUGAUGACGGUACCGUAAGAAUAAGCACCGGCUAACUACGUG
rnacentral:rRNA from 1 species